UAGUUUUACAAAGAAAAGAAAAUAAGACUGCAUUGUAUUUCCUCUUUGUGGGUGGACCGGGGUUUAAUAUAAGGCAAAUGUCCCGAACCGACACCAGUAGUUUUUAUAGAUGGCGAGUCUUCGUUUAAUUCUCUGCUUUGUUGUUAUGACCCUGAUUGGGGACACCGAUGCUCAUGGGCGCUUGAUGAAGCCAUGUCAAAGAGGCUCUCUGUGGAGGUGUUAUGAUCAAAACCAAUUCGCGUCAAAUUUCGAUGAUAUGGGCAACUUUUGCGGUGGAACGCAAGGAGGCGGUCCCUUUGCAACUGGAUUCAUAACUGAGACCUACAGCCAGGGACAGAAAAUUGAUGUAAUGGUACAACUGACUGCUGCACAUCUCGGAAAGUUCAUCUUCAGAGUGUGUAAACAAGUUGACGAGACCAAAGAGGUGACCCAAGAAUGCUUGGAUCAAAACCAAUUAAAGCUUCCCCCUGAUAUGGUUUGCGAUCAUUGCGUGUUCCAAUGGUGGUACAAAACAGGCAACAGUUGGGGACAAUUUCAAGGACAGCCUGGAUGCAAAGGUUGUGGUCCACAGGAAACAUUUGUGAAUUGCGCCGACAUCAAAAUCACGCCGAGUGACGGGAAUCCACAGCCAGCAAUAAAAGCUCCGGAAAUAGGGGAUACGAUACAUGGUGUGACCAAUAUUGCAGGGCCAACUCGCCUAACUGUAAGCCUCUGUUCUGUUCCUGUAUUUGCAAAUAUUCAAGCUCUAGCGGAUCCGGAGGUUCCGGUCAAUGUCUUUUAGGACCAGCCCACUGCAAUUUCCUCAGGCAAGACAGUGCCUAUGCUGAUGCCGUAAAACUCGUCUGUGACUGCAAUUAGUAAUACUAUAAUAGAAACACUCUGAACUUUGAUCAAAGCUUCAAAUGAACAAAUACUCUGAACUUCGAUCACAUCUUCAAAUGAGCAAUCUUUUCUACAGCCUUUUCUAAUAGUGAACUUGCAAUAA
rnacentral:sRNA from 1 species